rnacentral:rRNA from 1 species
AUGUUGUAUUCAUGCCUAAACAGAGGGGUCAUCUUAACUAGAGAUAAUCUGGCACGACGCAACUGGCAAGGCACCAAGGCGUGUGUCUUUUGCCAACAUGGCGAGUCUAUUAAGCACUUAUUUUUUGAGUGUAAAUUCGCUUGGCCGGUUUGGGCCAUAGUUCAAGUAGCUUCAAAUUUAUACCCACCACGUAGUGCUCGUAACAUGUUCGGCAACUGGUUGAGGGGUAUUGAUAAACAAUUUUCUGCACAUAUUUUUGUGGUGGCGGCUGCCUUAUGCUGGACAUUGUGGCUUACUAGGAAUGAUGUAGUUUUUAAUAAAAAUGUGUUUCAUCUCCUAUGCAGAUUAUUCAUGUAUGUACGCGAUGGCUCCGCACUUAGUCUAUCCUGCAGAGGCCGGAGGAUAGAGACCUUUUUAUAA